UACGUAGGGGGCGAGCGUUGUCCGGAUUUAUUGGGCGUAAAGAGCUCGUAGGCGGUUUGGUAAGUUGGAUGUGAAAUCUCCAGGCUCAACUUGGAGGGGUCAUUCGAUACUGCCAUGACUAGAGUUCGGUAGGGGAGUGUGGAAUUCCUGGUGGAGCGGUGAAAUGCGCAGAUAUCAGGAGGAACACCCGUAGCGAAGGCGGCACUCUGGGCCGGAACUGGCGCUGAGGAGCGAAAGCGUGGGGAGCGAACAGG
rnacentral:rRNA from 1 species